AACAUAGAAAUACUUAUUGGAUUAUACCUCUGAGGUCGUCAUGUGAUUUAUAUUAGUGUGUAAAUGCCCCUCUUGAUGUUUAUUUUUUGCGAAUGUGUGCAUUUGGCCGGAAAACAAUCUGACAUUCCACCUUGAGAUUUUAUUUGAGAGUUGUUCCAUCCUUAAAUGUAAAGCACUAGGAUUCAAAACAGUGUUCAUGGUGAUACAGGAAAACUUCAAGGUUCCUGCAGAUGGUGUUGAAAACUAUUGGCCAGUAAACACAAAUUAAACCCAUUUAAUUACAUCUUGAAUCUUCACCAGUAGAAAAAAGAUGGCAGUACUUUUAAUGCAAGCAGCUACUAAGGAAGAUUAAAUGAAGGAAGAUCAGGAAAUGGAGAAAAAGCUGAAGAACAAGGAGGACAAGAUGAAGAAAGAACAAGGGCACAGUGACUUGCAGUGUGUGUACAUGUAACAUUAUUACAACAACUAUAUCAUGGGUCCAUAAUUUUGAGUAAGUCAUUCAUCAAGUACUUUAUAUGUACUGGAAACCAUUUCUGAGGGGGAUGAAGUGAUGGAAGAUAAUGAGCUGGAGGGUGGAAUGGAAGAGAAAGGGAAAGAGAUAAAGAAAAAGGCAGAAUGAGAAAGGACUAGAACUUGCAAUAGAAGAAAAAGUUUAGGGAAAUUAAGAGGAAGAAAUUGAAGAUGAAAAGAAGAGCUCUGGGAGGAAAAAAUUCCAUUUGUUAAGAAUGUGUGGACAAAAGAAAAAUAGCCAUAGAGUGCCAAUGUGGAGUGGAAAAAGGCAGUAUGACUUGAUCGUGGUCAAUUGAAGUGUUUAAAUGCCCCUCAAGAAAGCAGAACAAUCUUUGAAUUUGCAAGAAAGAGUAUAAAAUUUGCUGCUAAAAUAUCAUAACAGCUAGACAAAGAUUAAAUAACAACUACACUUACAUCUAAAGAAUUUUUUUGUCCUAAUAGUGAUUCAUGUGCAAGUACAUGUAACAAGUGCUAUAAUGACCUAAUAUUAGUGUGUUUUAGGAGCAUGUUGACUCUAUUGUAAAUGUAUUGACUCAUUAUAUGACCUCAUUUAUAUAUAUCAUUAUAUGAAUGGUAGUGUAGUGACUCGACAUGUGUGUUAGCUGUGUAGGUUAUGAUGUGUGGUAAUUUUGUGUACGUAUGUAGUAUGGUGACUCGUGUUGGGAAUGUAUAAUUUUAUGUGUUACUGAUAUAUCUCAUCAUGUGAUUUAAAAUGGUUAUUUGUAAUGUAUAUAUUAGAAGUGUAGUGACUCGACAUGUGUGUUAGUAGUGUAGUGACUCGACGUGUGUUAGUACUGUAGCUUAUUAUGUGUGGUGAUUUUGUUAUUUGUAAGUUGUACAUGUAGUAUGGUGACUCGUGUGUUGGAAAUGUAUAAUUUUAUGUGUGUUACUAGCUCAUCGUGUGUUUUAGUAUUGUUAUUUGUAGUGUAUAUAUUAGUAUUGUAGUGACUUGACAAGUGUAUUAGUUGUGUAGUGACUCGACAUGUGUGUUAGUAGUGUAGUGACUCGACAUGUGUGUUAGUAGUGUAGCUUAUUAUGUGUGGUCAUUUUGUUAUUUGUUAUGUGUGUUGUACAUGUAGUAUGGUGACUUAUGUGUUUGAAAUGUAUAAUUAUAUAUACCCUCGCUCCGAAGGAGAGGGGGGGUAUACUGUUUUAUCCUUUUGUGUCUAGCUGUGUGUGUGUCUGUCUGUCUGUCUGUCCAUAACAAAUUUUUGGUCACAUUUUUCUCAGCAACUACUCAUUGCAGAUGCUUGAAAUUUUAGCACACUCUCUGUUUAGGCUUGCCAUAUGGUGGGAUUCAUUUUUAUACAAAUCUGAUGUCAACUUCCUGUUUAUCCAUGUGUCUGUCCGUACAACACAUAACAAAUUUUCGUCUCAGUUUUCUCAGCAACUUCUUAUCGCUUGAAAUUUUAGCACACUCUUUGCUGAGGCAUGCCAUAUGGUGUGAUUCAUUUUUGUAUGAAUUUGAUGCCAAUUAACUUCCUCUUUAUCUGUGCGUUUGUCUGUAUCAUACAUAACAAAUUUUCAUUGCAGUUUUUUCAGUAGUUACUUAUAGGUAUAGCAGAUGCUUGAAAUUUUAGCACAUUCUUUGUUUUGGCAUGCCAUAUUUUGAGAUUCAUUUUUGUACAAGUCUGAUGUCAACUUCCUGUUUAUCUGUGUGUCUGUCUAUACCAUACAUAACAAAUUUUUGUUGCAGUUUUCUCAUCAACUACUUAUUGCAGAUGCAUGAAAGUUUACACACUUUUUGUUUAGGCAUGUCAUAUGAUGGGAUUCAUUUCUGAAUUUGAUGUCAACUUCCUGUUUAUCUGUGCAUCUGUCUGUAUAAUAUGGAACAUUUUCUCAGCAACAACUCUUGUUGAGGCAUGCAAUAUGGUGGGAUUUAUUUUUGUAUGAAUCUGAUGUCAACUUCCUGUUUAUCCGUGCGUCUGUCCAUAGCUGCACUUGUGUAUAUUCACAUGAUAAUGUAUAUUCACAUCACGGUGGGGGGAUUACCAGUGGGCAUUGGCUCACAGAACUUGUUUUAUGUGUGUUACUGGUAUAGGUCAUCAUGUGAUUUAAUGUUGUUAUUUGUAAUUUAUAUAUUAGAAGUGUAGUGACUCGACAUGUGUGUUAGUAGUGUAGUGACUCGACAUGUGUGUUAGUAUUGUUAAGCUUAUGAUGUGUGGUAAUUUUGUUAUUUGUUAUGUGUGUUGUACAUGUAGUAUUGUGAAUCAUUAUGUGUUGGGAAUAUGUAAUUUUAUGUGUGUUAUUGGUAAAGCUCCUCGUGUUUUUUUAAGGAAUAACUGUCUAAUUUUUUGGAUUCAUGAUGUGAUCAAUCGAGUGGCUUGCGUGAUAAUUUGCAUAAACGCCGAAGGCAUUUAUGCAAAAAAAUUAUCACGCAAGCCAAUCGAUUGAUCAUCGUCAUGAAUCCAAAAAAUCUGACAGUUAUUCCUUAUAUUUACAUGCUCCUGAUUCUGCAAAUUCCCGUGCUAAUAGCCCAGCGUCUGUCUUUAUUUGUCCCGCCCCGCACGUGAUUUUUUUUAACCGCCCCUAUCGAUGAACCAGUGGAUUUAUGUAGAAAUAAAGUAUUUUUACAAUUUGUAAUUUUAUCUCGGACAAAGACAUUGGAAAUGUAAAUAUAUAUUGUUAUUUGUAAUAUACAGUGAAACUUGUCUUAUCCGGAUGUUGUGUACUCCAAAAUCUUGACUAAUACAGUGUUAAAUUUAGUCACCUGCAGUAGAUUCAAUUGUAUUAAAUGUUGUCUAAUCCGGAAUGUGGUCUAAUCCAGCCAAUUUCUUUGGAACCAGUGGUGUUCAGAUUAGAAAAGUUUUACUGUAUAUAUUAGUAGUGUAGAAACUCUACAUGUGUGUUAGUAGUGUAUUGACUCGACUUGUGUGUUAGUAGUGUAGUGACUCGACAUGUGUCUUAGUAGUGUAGCUUAUGAUGUGUGGUAAUUUUGUUAUUUAUUAUGUGUGUUGCACAUAUACAUGUAGAUAAUAUGGUGACUCAUGUGUCAGGAAUGUAUAAUUUUAAGUGUGUUACUUUUAUAACUCAUCGUGUGAUUUAAAAUUGUUAUUUGUAAUGUAUAUAUCAGUAGUGUAGUGACUCGACGUGUGUAAGUAGUGUAGUGACUCGACAUGUGUGUUAGUAGUGUAGUGACUUAACAUGUGUGUUAGUACUGAAGCUUAUUAUAUGUGGUAAUUUUGUUAUUUGUUAUGUGUGUUGUACAUGUAGUAUGGUGACGCUUGUGCUGGGAAUGUAUAAUUUUAAGUGUGUUACUGGUAUAACUCAUCGUGUGAUUUAAAAUUGUUAUUUGUAAUGUAUAUAUCAGUAGUGUAGUGACUCGACGUGUGUAAGUAGUGUAGUGACUCGACAUGUGUGUUAGUAGUGUAGUGACUUAACAUGUGUGUUAGUAGUGUAGCUUAUUAUGUGUGGUAAUUUUGUUGUUUGUUUUGUGUGUUGUACAUAUAGUAUGGUGACUCAUGCGUCAGGAAUGUAUAAUUUUAAGUGUGUUACUGGUAUAGCUCAUUGUGUGUUUAAAUAUUAUUUGUUAUUUGUAAUACAUAUAUUUGUAUUGUUAUUUUGGUAUGUGUGUUGUACAUGUAGCAUGGGACUCAUUUUGUGUUGGGAAUGUAGAAUUUUACCUGCGGUAGUGUAGCUCAUUUUUGUGUGCUAAUGUUAUUUUUUAUGUGUAAUAGUCAUGUAGUGACUCAAUAUGUCUGUAAGUAGUGUAGCUCAUUAUGUGUUUUCAUGUUGAGUUAGUUUAAUUUAGAAGAGUGUUGACUUAUUGUGUAAGUUAGAGUAGCCUCUUGCUAUAUGUGAGCAUAAUAUAAAAAGACACUUUUUUUAUGAUGUGUAUAUAAUUAUUAAAACAAUGCUAAAUAUAAUAUUAUACCAACCUCCAUUGAUAAACUUAUGUUUGAAUUUCUAAUGUAAUGUAAGCUGCAUGAAUAGAUCAUAUUUUGACUGAAUUUUGAAUGAGCAUAAUUUGUGAUUUUAAUUUUUGAAAUAAACAGAAAUUUAA